rnacentral:rRNA from 1 species
GAUGAACGCUGGCGGCGUGCCUAAUACAUGCAAGUCGAGCGAACGGACGCGAAGCUUGCUUCUCUGAUGUUAGCGGCGGACGGGAGAGUAACACGUGGAUAACCUACCUAUAAGUCUGGUAUAACUUCGGGACACCGGAGCUAAUCCCGGAUAAUCUUUUGCACCGCAUGGUUCAAAGGUGAAAGACGGUCUUGCUGUCACUUAUAGCUGGAUCCGCGCUGCAUUAGAUAGUUGGUAAGGUAACGGCUUACCACGGCAACGAUGCAUAGCCGACCGGUGAGACGGAUCGGCCACAUGGGAGGUGGAACACGGUCCUGGGGCCUACGGGAGGCAGCAGAAGGGAAUGGUCGGCAGUGGUCGAAAACCUGACGGAACAACGCGGCGUGAGAUAUGACAGCGUCCGGAGCGUGAUGCUCGGUUAUUGGUUGUGAACAGAUGUGGAAGUAACUGAGGAGAUCGUGACGGUACCGGAUCAGAAAGCCACGGCUAACUACGUG